UACAAUUUACCAGAGAAUUGAAAAAGAUCCAGUCUUGGAGCUGCGAAUAGUCUGCCAGUGGAUUCUGACCCAGACCUAGCACUUCAAGAUUAGGAAGGCUAUCCCAGUUGAUUGGUAUAGGUCCAGUAAUACUGUUUGCCGAGAUGUCAAGGUUAACAAGAUUGGACGCAUUAACUAUUGACGGUGGAAGUGGCCCUGAGAACAGGUUACCUUCGCCAUAAAAGCCUUGCAACUUCGGAAGGGUGAAGCCUAAAUCUGAUGGAAGUGUCCCUUCUAAUACAUUCUGGUUUAGACCAACAACAUAGAGCGACGAACUGUUGUAAAGUGAAGGCGGAACCAGACCUCCCAAACCGUUUACUCCUAAAUUAAGAAACUGUAAACUUGUGUGAUGUGCAAGUUCCAAAGGUAUGCCCCCAACUAAAUUGUUAUAGGCUAGAUCAAGAAAAAGAAGGGAUGAUACAUUACCUAUCGAAGGUGGAAUUGAGCCUGUGAAAUGAUUGACUCGAGCAUCAAACCGGUCAAGCUUAGACCAAGAGGAAAACUCGGUGGGUAGUUUUCCUUCAAGUUCAUUGUUACUCAUACUAAGUUUUCUAAUAUCUGUACAAUAACUCAAAUUGGCUGGGAAUCCACCUGUGAAAUAAUUCUGUCUCAAAUUAAGAUACUGGAGGCGAAACAAUAGGCCAAUUUCAUUUGGAAUCGAGCCAUGAAAGUUGUUCUGGUAGACGUAAAGUCCUCUGAGAAACGAAAGAUUACCAAUAUGUGGAGACAAUCUGCCCCCCAAUUGUUGGUCGGAGAUAUUUAGUUUUAUUACUCUCUCCCGUCUGCUGCUGCACGUAACGCCCCUCCACUGACAGAAGUGCAUCGAAGUGUUCCAUGAGUCCAGGGCACCCGACGGAUCAUCUACAGAAGCCUUAAAAGAAAGCAAGGCCUGCUGAUCAGUGUCGUUGCUUCGAAAAGCAAAUACAAAUAUUUUCGGUGUUGCUGAUACUAGUAAACAGGAAAUGAUAAACGGGAAGAUCAUGGUUGUAGAAUAAAACAGAGCAAUGAAGUAUUGCUACUGAAAGUACUAUGGACAUAAAUACAACAUUCAUGAUGUCUUUCCAACGACUUUGUAGGCCAAGUCGUGUUCAAAGAUCAUCAGCACAUAUUAAAUGGCGAUUAUGAUCUGCCAAAGAAGACUAAAUAUAAAACUAUAAUAGAAGUGCUUGUCAAGACUGUUUCUUGUAUACCAUAAGCACUCAUUCUUAUAUCUAUGCUAGCUCAUUAUACUUUCUAAUUUAGUUGUUCAACUUUUAAGGGGUAGAUUAGUGAGACGUUUUGCAAUGAGAUAUAAGUUUUAUGGGUAAGAUGUAUGAAGAAGGGUAUGAUCAUGAAUUUUAUUUCUCAUAUUUUUAUAUUUAGUUAAGUAAUUAAAUACAAUGUUUAACACAAAAUUUUAUAAUGAUGCAAAAUUAUAUUGUAAUAAUAAUUUUAUUAAUAUAUUUAAUUAAUUCUUGAAAAUUGAAUAUAUUGAUUUGAGAACUCAACCAAUUUUAUGAUAUCAACUACUCAUACCAUCUUAGCCGGAUACCGUACGACACCUAUGGUUAGGUAAUUAAAUUAAGGCUCUGCAUUUUAAUAUAUAAUUAGAAAUAAGAAAGAAAUAUUAUAUCACUAAAUACUAUAUAUACUCUAUUUUGAUAUCUCAUUUUAAAAUUAAUUGUAAAUUUUAAUAUGUGAUAUAAAGUUGGUUAAAAUGACCACUUUAAAGUGGACAACUAUUAUUAGAGUAUAUUAGUAUGAAGGGUUCUAUUAAAUAGAAAAUCAUAUAUUAUUAUAAUUAUCUCGUUAAAAAAUAUUUUAACUAGAAUGAUCAAAAUUUUCAAAUUUUAUAGGGAUUUUAAUUAUAUCAAAAAAGUUGUGCUAAUUUUUGACGAGUAUGUGUUUUAGAAAUAGUUACGUACAUGAAAGUUAAUCUUAGUCCGUUUUCAUAUUUUAAGUUUACUCCACCUAUAUUAUCAUAAACUUAAUCAUUUUUAUUUCGUGGAAUCAUCACAUACUUUAAAAAAGUUUCAAGUUAAAUUAUUAGUUGCUAUAUGAUUUAUUGCACUGAUUUAAACUCCAUAUAUUAUUAGAUGACAUUCUCAUAUAACAAUUAACAAGUAUCCUUAACAUAUAUAGGACAUGAAUGCAUUUUGCUAGGGGAGACUGAAAAUGUCAAAAGACCAAGUCCUUUCUCACAAAAACACAGAUCUGAUCCCUAGUUAGAAAGCAUUCAAAAGCUACUAUGGAGUCAUCUCGCUGUCAUCAAGACAAACAGAAAAAUACAAUUCAAACCAGCUACGGGUGAGUCAUCUCGCAUUGGAGAAAACUGUUAAAACAUCUAGCAGUCGUCAAGACUACUGCAUAAUUAACCCCAGCAGAUUUUAGUGUGCCAGGUCCCCAAGAUAACUGCAUGAUCCUUGACUUUACUGACAAUAGAGCAUCCACAGGGAAUGUUCGUUCCUUGCCGUCCAGCAUGGCUGCACAGAUAGAAGUCAAACUCAGUGGGAUAUGUAUGAUCAUACAACUGUCCCUCGCACUACAUUCCUUGGUGAGUUGCAGAGUACAUAUGCUUGUGACACUGAUUCCAGCACGCAACUGAUGCCUUUUCUUUAGUACAUUUUUGGAGUAUUUUCUUCAUUAUUUGCUGAAAUUAUGCCAUAUAUAUUUGAAUUCAGAGGAUGUCCACAAUAACAUCUGAAAUAAAACUUUAUAUUAAUCGAAAUAUAUAGUGCAGUCAAAGAUACUAUUGUUCCUAUGAUGCCAAACAUAAGAUAACUAGGCAUCCAAUUACACGAGGAACUGGGUGCAAUUAAAUGAGUGAUAUAGAUUUUCAUAUAUAGCGUUAUUUAAGUGAAAUUUCACUAUUUAAGAAUAACAAAAUUAGUGUCGUAUUUCAGUAUGUUAAAAAGUAUUAGUGAGAUUAAUAGGUAAUUAAUUUUACUAAAUGUAAAUAUUAAUAAAAAAUUUCAAAUAUUAAAUCCUUACCAAUUUUUUUUUAAAUAUUGUACAAAUUUUACAUUCUUAAUUAACUAGUUAGAUUUUCUCUUACAAAAUUGUCGCAUUUUUAAAAUCACAUAGGAAUCUAGAAUCAUAUACGAACAAACGCCCCUAAUUAUCGUGAUCUAGGUAUCUGCUUGUAUCUAAAAUUUUAUAAUCACACAAAAUCCUUAUAAUUAAAAAGGGUAAAAAGUACAAACCAGAUCUGCUUGUAUCUAAAAUUUUAUAAUCACACAAAAUCCUUAUAAUUAAAAAGGGUAAAAAGUACAAACUGCUUGUAUCUAAAAUUUUAUAUCACACAAGAUCUUUAUAAUUAAAAGUGGUAAAAAGUACAAACCAGAUAUGCUUGUAUCCGUUUGGGAUCUAAAAUUUUAUAAUCACACAAGAUCCUUAUAAUUAAAAGUAGUAAAAAGUACAAACCAGAUCUGUUUGUAUCUGUUUGGGAUCUGAUGGCGCAGGUGCUUGUUGGUAUGAAUUUACUUUGAGCAUCAUAAUAAACGCCCCUAAUUAUCGUGAUUUAGGUAUUUGCUUGUAUCUAAAAUUUUAUAAUCACAGAAAAUCCUUAUAAUUAAAAGUGUUAAAAGGUACAAACCAGAUCUGCUUGUAUCUAUUUUAUAAUCACAGANAACAAACGCCCCCUAAUUAUCGUGAUUUAGGUAUAUGCUUGUAUCUAAAAUUUUAUAAUCACAGAAAAUCCUUAUAAUUAAAAGUGGUAAAAAGUACAAACCAGAUCUGCUUGUAUCUGUUUGGGAUCUGAUGGCGCAUGUGCUUGUUUGUAUGAAUUUACUUUGAGCAUCACAACAAACCCCCUAAUUAUCGUGAUCUAGGUAUGGAAGACAAGUCUUUUUCUUCUUUGUUGCGAUUCAAACAUAAAUAUAUUUAUGUGUGUGUGUGUGUAUAUUCACAAAUGAUAUAACAAAAAUAUCUAGUACAUAUACUAAAGAAUGUUAAUUUAAAGAAAUAAACAACUCUUAUUAAGUUGGAAUUGCAAAGAAAAAUUUACUUCUUCGUAUUCAUUAUAUGGUGGCUGUAUGGAGAAAAUUGUGAAGGUUAUACCUCUCAGGUAAAACCUAUACUCUAUAUAUAGCACAUCAAUAUAUCUAGAAUGUUCCUCAAUUUGGGCUUUGGUCACAACUAGUGGGCCUGGAUUUGCCAUUUAAGGAUAUUCCAGAAAUUCAUAACAUUUUUAAUUUUGAACUAUUAUUUACUUUAAUUCAUUUUAUAAUAUUUUUUUAAGAUUUGAGGUUCUUCUCUCAUUUUGUGUAACAUUUUAGAUUGACUUGGGCUUGAGAUAUUAUGGGCCUUCUUUUUUGGAUCUUAACUAGUUAAACAAGUAACUUGGAAUUUUAACCUGUUAAAGAUAGUUUAAAUAAGUGAAAUGCUUUACUUUAUAAUCACAGAAAAUCCUUAUAAUUAAAAGUGGUAAAAAGUACAAACCAGAUCUGCUUGUAUCUGUUUGGGAUCUGAUGGCGCAGGUGCUUGUUUGUAUGAAAUUAUUUUGAGCAUCACAACAAACCCCCUAAUUAUCGUGAUCUAGGUAUGGAAGACAAGUCUUUUUCUUCUUUUUUGCGAUUCAAACAUAAAUAUAUUUAUGUGUGUGUGUGUGUAUAUAUAUUCACAAAUGAUAUAACAAAAAAAUCUAGUACAUAUACUAAAGAAUGUUGAUUUAAAUAAAUAAGCAACUCUUAUUAAGUUGGAAUUGCAAAGAAAAAUUUACUUCUUCGUAUUCAUUAUAUGGUGGCUGUAUGGAGAAAAUUGUGAAGGUUAUACCUCUCAUGUAAAACCUAUACUCUAUAUAUAGCACAUCAAUAUAUCUAGAAUGUUCCUCAAUUUGGGCUUUGGUCACAACUAGUGGGCCUGGAUUUGCCAUUUAAGGAUAUUCCAGAAAUUCAUAACAUUUUUAAUUUUGAACUAUUAUUUACUUUAAUUCAUUUUAUAAUAUUUUUUUAAGAUUUGAGGUUCUUCUCUCAUUUUGUGUAACAUUUUAGACUGACUUGGGCUUGAGAUAUUAUGGGCCUUCUUUUUUGGAUCUUAACUAGUUAAACAAGUAACUUGGAACUUUAACCUGUUAAAGAUAGUUUAAAUAAGUGAAAUGCUUUACUUUCAUUUUCCACUUCCAAUAAAUAUAUAAAAUUUAAAUAUAUACUUUUCUCCAUCUUUCAACUCACUAGCUACGACAUCCCCUCAUCCCCAUCCACUUAUCUACUCCAUCAUCAUCUUUCUUUUUCUCGAUUCAUCGAAACUGUUUCCUUCAUCCCGACGACCUCUCCAUGUAUANUUUACUUUGAGCAUCACAACAAACCCCCUAAUUAUCACGAUCUAGGUAUGGAAGACAAGUCUUUUUCUUCUUUGUUGCGAUUCAANUGUGCUUGUUUGUAUGAAUUUACUUUGAGCAUCACAACAAACCCCCUAAUUAUCGUGAUCUAGGUAUGGAAGACAAGUCUUUUUCUUCUUUGUUGCGAUUCAAACAUAAAUAUAUUUAUGUGUGUGUGUGUGUAUAUUCACAAAUGAUAUAACAAAAAUAUCUAGUACAUAUACUAAAGAAUGUUAAUUUAAAGAAAUAAACAACUCUUAUUAAGUUGGAAUUGCAAAGAAAAAUUUACUUCUUCGUAUUCAUUAUAUGGUGGCUGUAUGGAGAAAAUUGUGAAGGUUAUACCUCUCAGGUAAAACCUAUACUCUAUAUAUAGCACAUCAAUAUAUCUAGAAUGUUCCUCAAUUUGGGCUUUGGUCACAACUAGUGGGCCUGGAUUUGCCAUUUAAGGAUAUUCCAGAAAUUCAUAACAUUUUUAAUUUUGAACUAUUAUUUACUUUAAUUCAUUUUAUAAUAUUUUUUUAAGAUUUGAGGUUCUUCUCUCAUUUUGUGUAACAUUUUAGACUGACUUGGGCUUGAGAUAUUAUGGGCCUUCUUUUUUGGAUCUUAACUAGUUAAACAAGUAACUUGGAACUUUAACCUGUUAAAGAUAGUUUAAAUAAGUGAAAUGCUUUACUUUCAUUUUCCACUUCCAAUAAAUAUAUAAAAUUUAAAUAUAUACUUUUCUCCAUCUUUCAACUCACUAGCUACGACAUCCCCUCAUCCCCAUCCACUUAUCUACUCCAUCAUCAUCUUUCUUUUUCUCGAUUCAUCGAAACUGUUUCCUUCAUCCCGACGACCUCUCCAUGUAUAUUUUCUUCCCCCAUCUUCUUACAUCUCUCUCUUCGUCGAUAUGAUUCAAAUACAAAAUACUCAUACAUCUUAUAGUUUUGUCAUAUCUUCGGUAAAAUGGAAAUGGUAAUAUGAGAUGUGAGCCGCUCGGAUCCGUAAUAAAAGACGAUGGUAGUUAAAUCGUUUGUGGAAGAGAGAGAAACUACUGUGGUAGGUGAACUACGUGUGGAGGAGAUAAAAAUCGUUGUUGUAAUUAAGUCACUAGCGUAGGAGAGAGGUCAUGUCGUGGUAGUUGGAUAGGGGGAAGAAAUUAAGAGAAGGCACUUAAAGCGGAAGAAACUCCUGCAAAAUUUUAUGAUUUAUAUCAUAAAAGUUAGUGAUGUGCCUAAUACAUGUUACUGAUUUCUUUGGUGCAUAUUGGUGUUAUAGAUUAAAUUUGAUAAUUUAUCAAAAAUAAUAGAACAAAAUCAAGUGAAUUUUUGAUCUCCAUGUUACUUGCGGAAAGAUGAGAUAAUAAUAGAGAUAUGAAGUGGUUCUCACUAUAAUUAUACAGAUAACAUUGAUAAUAUUGUAUAUAGCUAAUAUAUAAAUAUGUUAUGAGAAUCAAAAGGAUUUCAUUAGAGUAAGACUAUUAAAUAUUUGAUAUAUUUUUUCGUUAUACUUAGUUAUAAUUUUUAACAUACAAUUAGAUCUAAAUAUAUUCAAACAUGCAAUGCGAUAAUUUAUUUAUAAAAAUCAAUUUUUCUUCAUCUUAUAUAAUAAGUACGGCAUUACAAGUUAUUUUGCAUGGUAACUAGAUGACAUUAAUAUUUAUAAAUCAUCAUGUGUUAUUUUUAUUAAAUAAUUUCAAUAAGUGUAAGGAAAUGUUUCCUUACUAAAAACAUCUUUAUUAAAAAUAUGAGAGCACAAAUUAUUUUAAAGAACAAUUUUUUCAUAUUUUUCAUCAUCUUUGAGAAUAUGAAAAAUUAGUUAAAUAAAAUAAUUAUAUAAAACUAGUAAUUAAAUGACGGUAGAGUUAAGUUCUAUGGAGUACACAAAAAUAUUAGAAUAUUAGAGUACAAGUCAUAAUUUUUUAGUUUAAUCAAAAAUAAUUUUUUUGAUUAUUCAAAUUUGUAUAUAAUUUAUCAUUUAUAAGCUGUCUUAAUCAUAAUUAUCAAUUAAUCAAUAAUAUCUUUCAACUUUAACAAGUAUUAAGAUUCUUGUUCUGCUUAUUAGUUAUAUUGCAGAACAUGGGGCCUCUGAUUUAUAAAAGUAAUUGUUCUACGUUUUGAUUACAAUGUUUAUGUUGUAGAACAUAAUCUGCAGGUUGUAGAAUGUUUACAAAUAUUGUAGAACAAAAAAAAAUUAAAUUUAGAUGACUAGAUUAUAUUUUAUCCAAUUUUGUACUACAAUACUCGAAUGUUUUUGUGUACUCCAUAGAACUUAACUAUAUAUACAUAUAUAUAUAUAUAUAUAUGUAUUUAUAUAUUAUUGAUCAAUUCCAUAAAAUAUACUCCCUCCAUCCCAUUUUAAGUGUCCACUUUGCCAAAAAAAAAAACUUCCCAAAAUAUGUGUCAUACUCUUUAACCCAUGUAAAAUUUAUACUAUUUCCGCUAUAGUAUUAAAUACAACCACCAAGCCCCUCAUAAAUAUAUUCAUGGGAUUAUGAAUUUAUAGUGUAAUUGAAGUGAAGAAAGGUCCAACAAAGAGCAAUUAAUGAGGUGCAUCACUAAUAUUUAUGAAAACUGAGCUCAUUAGUUGUGGGAAUAUAAUGAUCAAAAUAUUACAUUAAUUGUUUCUUAAUAUGUGUGAAAUUUGCAAAGUGGACACUGGAGUAUUCUUCUAGAUUUCUACUUACCAUCCUCCCCUUGGUUUCUCCGCCGGAAAAUGCUUGGUGCACAAUUGUGUACAAAAUUUUAUGUACAUAAUGACAUGUGUUGGGUUUUAAUUGGAAUGGGCCCGCGGUAUUUACAUCAACCACCCAAUUAAAACCCACCACAUUCAUUGCCACAUUAUUAUGUACAAAAAUUUUGUACACAAUUUUGUGCACCUAGCACUACUCUUUCUCCGCCUCCCUACCCUUGGUUUCUCCGCCUCCCUAUCUUUCCUCGUUUUGUACGUCUUCCCUCGUUUUGUCCGUCUCCUUAUAUUUCCUCGGUUUCAUCGCCUCCCCUUGAUUUCUCCCCUAUAUAUAAACUUUCACACAUACACACACACUUAUAAUCAAAAGAAGAAUGGGCAUGAGCACUAAAGCGUGCCUGUAAAUAGGUGAGCAUUGAAAUGAUUUGGCGGUUAAAUUUUAAAAAUGGAGAUCGAUCGAUGUAUGCAUAUGUGUUUCCCUUGAUAAAAGUUGGUGCCAUGUAAGUAGAAGAGUUUUAAUUUAAUAUUACGUGGAUUUAACUUCACCAUUUUGAUUUGAUGGGUAUUCUUUAUUUAAUCUUCUACUCAAAUUUUUUAGGGUAUUCGAGGUUGUUCUAGGUACAUUACUACAAUCCUUAGAAGGCAAAUGAAGCCCCUUACACCAGCAGGUGAAACUGGUACUCUUGUGGGGAGUACUAGGCCUAGAAGGCAAAGGGGUAGCCUCUGGCUGAAGAAGAGCCAGGCAUUGAUGUGGACAGAUCUCAAGGUGUCCUUAGACCUGGAGAGAGAGCCAUUCCAGACACACAACCUCGGACAGGACAUCACCUCUCUGCUUAUGCUAGAGCAGGAUAUUGAUAUUUGUUAAUAUUCUUCUUUUCCAUAUGAUCAGCUUCCAUUUUUAUAAUCAUUGGUAUUGUAUAGUAGGAACCUAUACAAAAAAUCUUAAUUGUCCAAUAGAAUAUUUGUCCAGCAUUGCUAGGUUAAUUGAUGGGGUCUUUAGAUUUCUUGUUGGUCGAAUUACAGUUUUCAUAUGCUUUAAACUGUGAACUAUCAGUUUAAAAUGAAUUUUAGUUCUUUUAUUAUUAUUAUUAAAUUUGUGGUUUUGGUUGAAAUCUGUUUAGUAUAUAUAUAUAAUUGAGUGGCUAAUAUUAUGUCUCAAUGGAUUAUUAUAGGUGAUGUGAAGAUAUAUGGGUUCGUGGAAGUAACUUUGGAUGAUGAUAUAUAGGAUGAGAGGAGGUGUCUGAAGUGGUGGUAGAGUAACAAACCAAAAAGGACAAUGCAAACGCAAAAAAUUCAUUACUUGUUCUAAAAUUAAAAACAAUUUAGUGACAUGUAAUUUUGUAUCCAUCAAAUAGAUGUUUUUAUUAUUAAAAUAGGUUUCUUAUCUAUGACUUUAUCAGUAAAUUGCAUCUAAUGAGUCUAUCAACGGUGAACAUGCAUCUCUAAUGAUGGAAUGAAUCGUCAAAACAUUACAAAUUUAAUAUGUAAACAUUUUAAAUAUCUUUACCCUUUAAAGACCCAGUCUUAGUUUUGUGUGCAUUCCAUUUUUACAUAGUAAAUGAAUAUGAAUACAUUCUGCUUAUAAGCUGUUUCUUUGUAAAUGAUUUUCUACAUGAAAAAAUAAUGUUUCUUGAAUGUGCAUAUAUUAUGUAAGCGCUUUACGAUUGUUAGAUUUCUUUGUUAGAUAUGCAAUAAUCAAUCCCGCCUUUUAUGGUAAAGACAUAAGUUAAUUAAAUCAACUUAUCUCUACGAGAAUGCUCACUAUUAACUAUAGAAAGAGCAAUGAUGAUGUUUUGGAUCCACUAAUCAUCUAGCUAACCAAAAGAAUUCUUUUAAACUUAGAAAAUCAGGUUAAAUAUAGUGAUAACUAUAAAGAUAUGAAGAGCUAUGGGCUUAACCUAUUGGUUAACAUCGUUUUGGUAUACACUUAAUUUUAUUGACUAGAAAUUCUAAAAACUUGAUUGAAUGGGCCAACUAAAUCAUGAUAUAUUCAUAUCACUAAUAAGUCUAUAAGAUAAAGUCAAUGAAAAAUUAUAAUGACAAUUCUUUAUAAACUCUAUAGCAUGUAUUAUGGUCCAUGACUAUAUACACAUAUUCAUGAAAAGUACUGAAUGAGCGAGUAUAGAUAUAAUGAUGAAGAUCAUUUACCAAAUAGUCAAAGAAUUCAAGUACAUCACGUCUAUAUCUAUGUGUAAAGUUGGUAUAUAUACUUACUCCAUCAAAGGUUCAAGAAGCAUUUCUUAUCAAUCAUAUACUAUUUCUGGCCACUGGGACUAAUACCAAGUCAAAGCUAUUGGAGCAUCAAUCUCGUUUGUGAGGGAUUUGUGAAAUUUUUUAGUGUAUAUAUAUAUAUAUAAUACUAAUGUUCCGAUGUUGACCGUUAGUAGUACUUAAUUAUCUUACAACUUCAGUCUCUUUUUUUAAAUAGAGUCUUGGGUCAUUAAUUUUAUUAAGUCGAAAACUUUAUAUAUAGUCAACUCUGUUAUUUGAUCUCCUUAGUUUAAAUCCUUCAUACAUCUCGUUGCUAAUUCAGUUAUAGUAAGAAGUUAUAGUAAAACCUGUUGGGUUUUUAUUUAAUCUAAACUUUUGUUAUUUAUUUGUUAAAUAAAUUGUACCUGUUAGGUGCGUGUAAAUAGCAACAAGAAUAGGCCUAUUAGCAGUUGAGAAGUUUUAGGAGCUGCAUGGAGUAGUUGAUAUUGAUAGAGUAGUGGAGUUAUAUCAGGAACUGCUUCCUUGAUAACAGCUACCACAUUAGUUGUUUGUUCUAUUUAUAUCUUGCAUGUACACACUUUCAGAAGAGACACAACACAAGCUAAUACAAUGUAGUUUUAGAGAGUAUUUCGGGAUUGUACAUACACAUCUCUUCUAUCUUUAUCAUUCUGCAGUUAUAAUUCUUGUAGUAGUUUAAUUUCAACAAAACCAUGUCAGGGAGAGCAACCACGGUUUCUAAAAUCAUUGCACACCCAUCCAUACCGUAUGUAUGAUAUUAUAAUAAAAAACCGGGCUUGUGGUGAGAAAAAUUACAAAAACUAGUAGCUCAAAUAGGGUAACAACCAAAAUACUAGAAUUCCCCUUAUAAUAAUCUUAAGAAUCACUUAAUUACUCAUAACACAUGAAGCAGUCGAAUACUAAUCCAGAGGUAUAUAACUAAAGUUCUCUUUCAAGAUCAAUAGUCUAUUAACUAAAAUUUUUAGCUUACUCUUCUAAGGUGGGGAUCAUGAUCAUUUUUAUGAAUUGAUAUAGAAAGGCUGAAAUAAAAUUUCAAUAAUCACGUAGACUAAAAAAGAAGAAUGAUAUUAAUGAAAUAAUAGACUAUCUAUCUUAUUAGGAAUAAAUGAAACAAGUAUUUGAAAAAAAUACAUAAUUUAGCAUUAAAUAGAUAAAAUAAUGAUUCAGAUUUUAAAUAGUUUAUGAAAUCCACCAAAUGAAAACGUACAAGUUAAUUGUUGCAUUAUAUAAAUACAAUCUACUUGCAGCUUAAUGUGAUAGUAUGAGUAAAACUUGUAACUUACACUAAUUAAAUUAUUAAUUGUUGUAUCAUGUUUUUUUUGAAAGUGAAUUGUUGUAUCAUGUUGAAACUUAAUAUGUUAAAAAUGAUUUAUUAAUGUCACUUCAAAUUAUAAUGUGUAUAAGAUGUUGGGUUUGUCUACACUCAUUAUUAGAAGUGAGAAGGAAAAAUCAAGAGAAAAAAAUUUAGAAGAAGGCUCGCAAUAUGUCUCGAGAAAUAAGUAGAAAUUGGAGUUUAUAAUGACAAAGAAAUAUGUGUGUCAUAUGUUAGUUCCCUUUUGAAUUCUUUUCGAUUUACGAGCACAAUUAAUCUAUUCCCCCUAAAUAUAAUUAUCAAUAUAAAUUUACUAAUUUUAAUAAAUAUUAAAUGAUGAGUUGCGUAAUUGUUAUACAAGUUGAAAGUUGAACCGGUAUAUUAAUAAUAAAAACUUUUUGAAGAUAAAUUGACACAAAAAAUAAACCGUUCAUUAUGGCAUUACGUGAAAAUCAUUGAUCAUAUAUGUGUGUAUGUUGUGUAUAUAUGUAUGUCUAUACUUAUAUGUGAGAGAUAUGUUAUAUAUUAAAUAGUAAUUUGUGAUGUAUAAACUAGUUAGUGAUUAAAAAUUGGUGAGGGACUGAUUUUUAAUUUGUAGGCUAGUUUGUAUAGGCCGCAGCCUCGGUGGCCACAGUGGUGGGCUAUGGCACCAAAAGGGUGGGGCUGACAGUAUAUGUGGGUUGGUUUGGUGGGAGUGGAUGUGGAUAAGUGACAGUAUAUGAGUGUAGGUGAGGAAGUGGCUGGUUAUGAAAGAAAUUUUUGGUUUUUAUUCAAUUUUAUUUUUAUUAUAUAUAUAUAUAUAUAUAUAUUAAAUAUUUGAUAUGUUGGGUUUUUAUUUAAUCUAAACUUUUGUUAUUUAUUUGUUAAAUAAAUUGUACCUGUUAGGUGCGUGUAAAUAGCAACAAGAAUAGGCCUAUUAGCAGUUGAGAAGUUUUAGGAGCUGCAUGGAGUAGUUGAUAUUGAUAGAGUAGUGGAGUUAUAUCAGGAACUGCUUCCUUGAUAACAGCUACCACAUUAGUUGUUUGUUCUAUUUAUAUCUUGCAUGUACACACUUUCAGAAGAGACACAACACAAGCUAAUACAAUGUAGUUUUAGAGAGUAUUUCGGGAUUGUACAUACACAUCUCUUCUAUCUUUAUCAUUCUGCAGUUAUAAUUCUUGUAGUAGUUUAAUUUCAACAAAACCAUGUCAGGGAGAGCAACCACGGUUUCUAAAAUCAUUGCACACCCAUCCAUACCGUAUGUAUGAUAUUAUAAUAAAAAACCGGGCUUGUGGUGAGAAAAAUUACAAAAACUAGUAGCUCAAAUAGGGUAACAACCAAAAUACUAGAAUUCCCCUUAUAAUAAUCUUAAGAAUCACUUAAUUACUCAUAACACAUGAAGCAGUCGAAUACUAAUCCAGAGGUAUAUAACUAAAGUUCUCUUUCAAGAUCAAUAGUCUAUUAACUAAAAUUUUUAGCUUACUCUUCUAAGGUGGGGAUCAUGAUCAUUUUUAUGAAUUGAUAUAGAAAGGCUGAAAUAAAAUUUCAAUAAUCACGUAGACUAAAAAAGAAGAAUGAUAUUAAUGAAAUAAUAGACUAUCUAUCUUAUUAGGAAUAAAUGAAACAAGUAUUUGAAAAAAAUACAUAAUUUAGCAUUAAAUAGAUAAAAUAAUGAUUCAGAUUUUAAAUAGUUUAUGAAAUCCACCAAAUGAAAACGUACAAGUUAAUUGUUGCAUUAUAUAAAUACAAUCUACUUGCAGCUUAAUGUGAUAGUAUGAGUAAAACUUGUAACUUACACUAAUUAAAUUAUUAAUUGUUGUAUCAUGUUUUUUUUGAAAGUGAAUUGUUGUAUCAUGUUGAAACUUAAUAUGUUAAAAAUGAUUUAUUAAUGUCACUUCAAAUUAUAAUGUGUAUAAGAUGUUGGGUUUGUCUACACUCAUUAUUAGAAGUGAGAAGGAAAAAUCAAGAGAAAAAAAUUUAGAAGAAGGCUCGCAAUAUGUCUCGAGAAAUAAGUAGAAAUUGGAGUUUAUAAUGACAAAGAAAUAUGUGUGUCAUAUGUUAGUUCCCUUUUGAAUUCUUUUCGAUUUACGAGCACAAUUAAUCUAUUCCCCCUAAAUAUAAUUAUCAAUAUAAAUUUACUAAUUUUAAUAAAUAUUAAAUGAUGAGUUGCGUAAUUGUUAUACAAGUUGAAAGUUGAACCGGUAUAUUAAUAAUAAAAUUUUUUUGAAGAUAAAUUGACACAAAAAAUAAACCGUUCAUUAUGGCAUUACGUGAAAAUCAUUGAUCAUAUAUGUGUGUAUGUUGUGUAUAUAUGUAUGUCUAUACUUAUAUGUGAGAGAUAUGUUAUAUAUUAAAUAGUAAUUUGUGAUGUAUAAACUAGUUAGUGAUUAAAAAUUGGUGAGGGACUGAUUUUUAAUUUGUAGGCUAGUUUGUAUAGGCCGCAGCCUCGGUGGCCACAGUGGUGGGCUAUGGCACCAAAAGGGUGGGGCUGACAGUAUAUGUGGGUUGGUUUGGUGGGAGUGGAUGUGGAUAAGUGACAGUAUAUGAGUGUAGGUGAGGAAGUGGCUGGUUAUGAAAGAAAUUUUUGGUUUUUAUUCAAUUUUAUUUUUAUUAUAUAUAUAUAUAUAUAUAUAUUAAAUAUUUGAUAUAUUUUUUCAAAAUAAAUAUUUAUAAAUUUAACAUAUAAUUAGAUUUAAAAUUUUCAAACAUGUGAUGCCAUAAUUUAUUUUAGAAAAAUCUAUUUUCCUUCAUCUUACAUUUUAAAGAAAGUUAUUUUGCUUGCUAACUAGAUAAAAUUUGUAUUUAUAUAUAAUAAUAUGUUAUUUUUUUAUUGGCAUGUGUAAAUAAUUUUAGUAAGUGUAAAUAAAUGUUUCCUUAUUAAAAAAACCCCUACACUAAGAAGUAUGAGAGCACAAAUUAUAAUAAAGAAAUUAUUUUAUAUUUUUUUUAUCUUUGAAAAUACAAUAAAUUAUUCAAAUAAAAUAAUUAUACAAGCAAACUGAUUAAAUGAGGGUAAUUGUCAAGAAAUUAUUGAUUAAGAUAAAUGAUAAUGUAUAGAGUUCAAGAAGUAUUUGUUGAAUGUGGAUAUAUUAUAUUGAUCAAUUUGAUAAAAUAUACUAUUCCCCACAUUUUGUUAAAUAUAAUAUAAUUUUGGCUAUAAAAUAAAAGAAGUGUGUGGGUGAUUCUAGAUUAUUCUUAGUACAUGCAUUUGUUUUUAAUUUUGAAUGCAUGUAUUAGUCCAGAUGCAUAAUCUCUAGAAUAUUCCCGUCUUUUGCUUUCUAGCAUUUAAUUAGUCUCUAGAUCUUUCUAUUGAGUCCUAUAUAAAGCCUCUUGUACCAAAUCAUUUGUCAUCAACUAAGGUAAAGCAAUUCAUUAUAUAUAAAUUUCUCUUUUCCUAAAUAUCUGAGUUGUGGGAGUUUUAGUGAAAACCUUUCUUCCUCCAUCCAACACAUUUUUAGCCCACAUCCCGGUUCUAAGUCUAUUCUAGUUUUGUCCUUCUCCUUAGAUUUCCUCGAUUUCUUCACCUCCCCUUGGUUUCUCCGCUAUAAAAUUUUACACACACAUAUAUAUAUAUAUAUAUAGUCUUAGAAGAAUGGCUAUGAUCACUAAAGCUAGCGUGGCUGUUAAUAAGUGAGAACUGAAAUGAUUUGCCGAUUAAAUUUAAUUAGCAAUGGUGAUCUAUGUAUGCCUAUGUGUUUAAUUCCCUUGAUAAAAGAUGGUGUCAUGUAAGUUCAAGAGUUCUAAUUUAAUUGUGAGGAUAAUAUUAUCUAUCCAUUUUGAUUUGAUGGGUAAUCUUUAUUUAAUCUUCUUUUAUUUAUAAAUUAUAGGGUUUUGGCAUUCGAGAUUGUUCUUGGUACAUUUGUAAAAGCCCCAGAAGGAAGCCUGUUACACCGGCAGGCGAAGCUGGUACACUCGGGGGAAAAAAUUGAUGGAUUAUUGUUGACUAAAUGAUGUUUGAUGGAUUAUUCUAUUAUUGAGCUAGGCUCCUUGCCGAGUACUUGGGGAAAAAGGUAAUGCUGGCACUUGUUUGCCAGACUUUUGACGGGGUUAAAGCUCUGGAGGCGUAUGAUGAAGGUGGUGUUAUAAAUAGAAAUUCUGGUCUUCAUGGAAUUGUAUCCUGGGUCACGACCUCUGGCCAUGGCCUUAGAGAGACUCUCUUCUAUCUUCUAUUCUCGCUCCUGCAAGUUUAUAGAACUAUGAAAUAUAUGUAUAAGGCCCUCCCAUUCAUAAAAGAUGGAGCUGUAUCUUUUGGAUGGUGGAAUAAUGAGAUCAAAAUUUCCUCUUAGCAGCAUAGCCAUUGUGACAACUUUAAUUGUACAUUCACAUUUCUUCUGUUGCAACCGUACAAUUUCUUGCAACAAGUUUAUAUGAUUAGCAAAGAAUUCUUUAAUAGAAGAGUAUGUUAUUAUUUGUUAGUAUGAUAUAUAUUACUCAUAUAAUAAAUAUGCAAAUAAGGCACUCGGAUAUGAAAGUAUUAAUUCAAUAACAAAAUUAAAACGUCAAACUAAAAUUAAAUGAAUAAAAGAGAAGGAAAAUUCUUGUGAAACAAACACCAACGAAUGAGUUUGAUUCUUUUCUUUCCUUUGUCGGUUAUGGGCGAUGUUUUAGUAAAUUGCAUGUGAUAUACAAAUAGCAUAAAACAAAAUUUUGUGCUAAUUUUUUUUUUAAUUUUUAGACCACUAUUAAAUCUAUCAACAAUAAACGGCCACCAUAUCUGUAUGUAUUUUGUUUCUAAUAUAUAGUAUUAAAAAAUGUAAAUUGGAAUCUUAUAGAAGCUAACAAUAAAAAUUUUUAUUUGGUUUCACGAUCAAAAUAAUAUAAGUAAAAUAAUUCAAGAUCAUUCAUUAACUUUCUCCUAAUUUUAAUUUGUGAAUUUUAUUUGAUUUUCAAGCAUAAACAAACCAUCCCUACAUAUAAUAAUCAUUAUAAAUUUACUAAUUCUAAUAAAUUUUUGAAUGAUAAGUUUGUAAAUUAUUUUGUUAUACUAAUCGAGACUUGAACUAUUAUAUUAAUACUAAAAAGCUUUAGAGAAGACAAAUUGACUCAAAAUAAUAUAUUAAUUUGUGAAAUUUUUUCUCACUAUAAAAUUUGUUCAUAUUAAUAAGUAAUAAUGUGCUUCUUACAUAUUUAUUAGCUAAUUAAUAAUUUAAUUAUAAUAAGAUGAAAUAUAUUUUACUCGAAUAACAGAUCAUUUUGUGUUCUCUUAAAAAAGAUUGUGUCCAAAAUUUUAUUUAUUCAAAUUAUUAUAAAUAUGAUAAAUUUGAUUAAUUGUUACACAUUUAUCAAUAAAAUUUAUUUUAAUGUUGUGUUUAUCAUAAAUAUUGAUCAUGUACAAAUUAAGUUCAAAAGUUAAGAUACAUAUUUUACGUUCUCAAACAAUGAGUAUUCAUUUUGCAUUAAAUGAGAAACUCAAGUUAAACAAUUUGCAUUAGGUAAAUCACAAUUUACAUAAGGAGGAUCUUCGGAUAGGUAUAUUGCAUUUCACUCAAAUAUAUUGGGCAUGUUAAAUUUGGCUUUGUAAUGAGUUCUACAUUUCCCUAUUUCUUUAAACUGCACCAACAACAAACCAACAACAGAACAAAGAAGAAAAGGAAACCAGAUCUGCAGCAGAUCAGGUGACAGAGUUUGGAGGGCAUGGUAUAGUCUUCCUAAUGAACUCCUCUUUUUUGGGGAAUCAUAAGCCUAAAAAAAGGCCUUAUGAGCACUAACCUUUUUCCCCUCAAAACAAAGAUUUAGUAAUGUAACAAGAACAACCCCAAUAAUACCUGUCAGACAAACGAUUAAUUGGAAGCCAUUAGGAUUUUAAAAACAUAAUUAAUUACUUGUAUUCAAUUUGGAGGCAAACACUAACCACAGUUACACAAACACAAGCAUCAAUUUCUUCCGGGUCUGAAUUUCCAGAUGGAUCAGCAUUGCUACAAUGAUCUGAUCCACAACUCUGGAUUAAAGUACUAUGAUUUUGAUGGGUCAGUAUCAUAUACAGAGCGAAAAUCAGAAAAUAGUACUCUACAUGUUAGGAACACAUGAAAGAGCACAUCUGAGCUUGCUCUGCCAAGUGAAGAGUAAAUCUGAUGAGCCCUAAAUAUAGGACUUGGCAACGGAGAUCCCAAGGGGGCACAAUCAUAAAAAAGUGAAAUUUAUUAUCGGUUUUAAUUUAUAACUGCCAACUUCUUUUUGAUAGAAAACUAUUAGCUGAGAUAUACAUUCUUUUUGUCUUUAUGUUAAGAGUGAGGCUCUUACAUUUAAUUCUCUUUAUUAUGGGGGUCGGGCCUACAGGCUGCACCUAGUCACGUUUAUUCUCUAUCACUCUCAUUUGUUUACGAAUAGCAUGUGCACCGAAAUAAAGAUAUCGUUUGGCUGGUGUGUGUCCAUGAGCACAUGCUAAACUCUAAUUUUGAUGUAUUAGCUUGUUUUGAUUGAUAGAGCUUUUGUAUAUGUAAGGGGUCCACCAUUAUUAAUAAGUAGUACUAGGCACUCAAAAUGAGUUAAAUACAUGAAUUAAUUUGGUGUUUAACAUGUGUCAUGGGCAUAUUUAAUGUAUAAAGUGAGUAUAGUAGAGUAAAUUAGUGGAUAUAGUAAUUUUCAUAUGGGUCUUUCUAGUAUGUGCCUACAUGGAGGAUUUUUAUUGGUGGGGAUUUUUGUGCAUGUAGUGGGGCGAUCAUUAUUUAUAAUGAGAUUAGAGCUAAUAGAAAUCAUUCACCAAAAUAAAAAGUAAAGUAGUUGUUAGUGUAUGCUCAUGGACAAAAUGAUGAUGACUAGCUAGUGACUAGUGUGUCCCCCAUGAGAUUAAACAUAAUUAUCAAUUAGUUAUUAAUAUAUUUCAAUUUUUAAGAUUAUUGUUCUGAUGAGUUAUAAUGGAGACCAUAUUGUCCUAUGAUUUAUAAAAGUAAUUGUUCUAUCUUUUGAUUACAAUGUUUAUGUUGUUGAAUAUAAUCUGCAGGUUGUUGAAUGUGUACAAAUAUUCUAGAAUAACAAAAACUAAAAUUUAAAUGACUAGAUUAUAUUUUAACCAAUUUUGUACUCCACUACUCUAAUAUGUUUGUGUACUCCAUAAAACUUGACUCAUAUAUAACUAAUGAUAAUAAUUUGAAUAUAAUAUGAAAGGGAAUAGACUAAAUUGAAUAAUAUAAUUAUAGAUAUGAGCCUUACAUAUAUUACCACUAGGGUCAUUCUACUGACCAAAACUUUCAAUUGGCCUCCCGAGUCAAAAAAAGUUUUCAUUUAAAUAAUAAACCAUCUAAAAACUUUUAAUCACGAAAUUAAGUUAUAAAAAAAAAUCAGCGCCGUUAAGUCUUUGACUUUUAACGGAAAACCUUAAAUAUAACGGAUUUGCAUGUUUUUAACAGAUUAUAUGUUUUUAAGGCAGAGUUUACUUCGGCCCUUCACCAGUUCCCCGUGUACUGCUAUUAUCAAUGCUGCUAGAUACAGUAAAGACAAGUCUGCAAGUUUUGGAAGGAGAGGGGCGACCUACAAUUGGACAAACUGUAAAGAAUUAGCUGGUGAAGGAAGGCGGAUUGGGUGCUUGUUAUAGAUGUUUGGGGCCGAGGUGGGCUUCGAUGCCUCUUUCCGCAACCACCAUGCAUGAUCACUACUUGUGAGUUUCUAAAGAAAAUGUCUACGAAGGAUCAAGAGGUGUUUGCUUAACUAAAUUUUGGCGGGGAAGAUACGAAAGGGAAAAAAUUUAGAAUGUUGCAAAUCAUCUACACACUUGUAUAACUUGGUUUCUUGUCAUGUGUUGAUGACCUUCCUCUAUGAAUACCGAUGUAAGUUGUACUUAAGGUUUACUUUUAAUGAAUAAGAAUAACAUGAAAAUCAAAUUACAAUAUUGUCCAACAUUGUACAAGUAGUUCAGCCUUGGUCAGGCUGUUUGUUGUAUAUGAAUGAUAUAUAUACAUUGUUGAAGUGUGUAAAUGUGUAGGUUCUAGGGGACAUCUACUACCUGGUAUAUACAAGAGUCGGAUUCAGGGUACAAAUGUUGAGUAAUAUGACUCUAUUUGGUUUUAAGAGGCAAAUGCUCCUGUUAAGUUUUUAAUGGAAUGACCUAUUUGAAAAUUUUUAAUAAUACAAUUAGUUGACUCAAAAAAAUUUUGACUCGGUAGGCCAGGCUCAGUAGAGUGAUGAAAUAGAGCAUUAACCCUAUUACCACUAGACUAUAAAGUAAUGUCCUAAUGUUCUGUAAUGUCAGAAAGGCUGACACAUAUCUAAAGUAAAAUGUGUCUCAAAAUGGUGCUUAACACAUAUCUAAAACAAAAUAGCAUGUGUGUCACUCCACCUACUCUUAAGGUCGGAAUAUAUGAACCUAAAAUUUACAAAACUUAAAUUUAACAAGCUAACUUCUUUUAAAAUUGGCAAGAAUCUUACUCAUGAGAUACCUACUGUCUUUUUGAAGCUUAACAAGUUAACUAAAAUUCUUAGCUUACUCAUAAAAGGUAAGAUCUGGUCAUAUUUCUAACUUGAUUUUCUUUUUCCGGAAAGACAAAAAAGAAGGGAAUGAUAUCUAUGAAAUACUAGAUUGUCUAAUUAGGACUAAACAGAACGAGUUCUUACAUAGUGUAAUACUGAAUAGAUAGAUAGUAAUUCAAAUUUCAAAUAGUUUAUGCAGUCCAUCAAAUAAAAACAUUGGAGUGAAUGAAUAUUGGGGAGAAAAAGAAAUUUAAGUUAGAAAGCGUAUUUGUUAAUUGUUGCAUUUUAUAAAUACUAUUUAUAACUUGUAGCUUAAUCUGACUGUAUGAAUAAACCUUGAUGCUUAACUUAAUCUAACCACCCCAUUAGUAUUUGCAUCAUGUUUUAGUUGCAGGAGCUCCCGCAUGCACCUCCUCUAUGUUAUUAGAAACAAAAACAUUUUCUUAAUGUCACUUUGAACGAUAAUGUUUAUAAGAUGAUGGGUUUGCCUACACAGAAGUAAGAUGAAGAAAGUGAAGGAAAAGAAAAAGUUCGAGAGGAAGGCUCGGAAGUAUCCUGAGGAAGAUGUAGACGUUGGAGUUCAUAGUAGAAAAAGAACGAGAAAGAAUAAUUUGCAACCUAACGUAUCUCGCCGAUAAGAGUACAUAAUCACGAACAAAAAAUUGUAGUUAGUAGAACAAAAGCAUUACAAAUUCAACAGAAACAUAGACAUUUAUUUCUUAUUAAUUCAAAUAGCUGUUAAUUUUUAUAAGUUAAUCUAAUUUUAAAUUAUUGAUACUGAUAUUAAACUGAGAAUAUAUGUACACUUGAGAGCCCUAAAAAGCAUUAAAGAUGAAGCUUCGCGGUGGACCAACAACUCGUUCACGAUCCAAUACUGUAAGUAACUGCCCGCGAGAAGGAAGAAACAAACUCAAUUCUCGUUUAGACCCCUGCACCAGUGAAGUUGCUACAGAGUGAAUGACUAUGAUCAAUGGCUGCUUAAUUAUUUGACCAUGCCGUCAAAAGAAAUUAGAUGCUCAGAAGAAAGCUAUAUAUAACUGCUGGUCCAAGUCAAACUGCAAAUGAGCCGGCUGAUGGAGAGAAUGACUUGCCUAAUUGGAGAUGCAGUUGAAAAGAUUAGGCCAUGUUGACUUGUAGAAAGGUUUUCCAAUUUAAGUGUUCAAAUUGCCUUGGUUUUCUAUUUCGUAAAUGUAGAGAUAGAAUGGUAUACAUAUUCAAAUUGGUUAGAUUUCCGUGUAUGGCUGAGCUUUAUAACCUGAUUUUAUGAUUUAAAGUGAUAGAUUAGCGAUGUAAAGUGUGGGUUUGGAUAAUUUUGACUUUGACUCGUGAGUUAUUAAAAAUAUGAUAAUAAAAAUAAAAAUGAUUUACGGAUAACAUAUAUCUUUUUUAUCAAAAUUUUUUUUAACAAUUAACUCGCCUUAAAAUGUACCUCAAACUAAUUAUACCAAGUCCUUAGCUAAUUUCAUUGUUAAAAUCAAGUAGGAUAAGUUAUGUAUUUGAAUUAUGAUAUUAAUUUUUAUUGUAUAAACUCAUAUAAAUAAAAUAAGUUGUUAGAAAUAUCUCUUAUCAACGCUAAGGAGGCCUUUCAGAAUUAAAACCCAUGCCUUUUCCCAAAUCCAAACUAACUCCUGCUCUACCUAUGUUCGCCACCACCAAGGUAGAUAAGGUCAGGGAAUAUGCACAUGUUAAUUACUGUUAAUUUAAUGAAUAGUUUCGCGUUCUUUUAGAAUUAAAUUGGUAUAUAUAGCAUAAUUAAGGGUAUCAAUGUCAGUUAGAUGAUCAGAAGCAUGUUUUGGUUGAAUUUUUUAAUCUUUUUAGUACUAAAUUUGAAUAAAUUAAAUAUAACUUCUAUCCAUAUAAGGCAUAUCGAUGUUACAUGUGCUUUUUUUUUUUUUCAGGGUUUCCAAGCACUCCGGAGCGCAUGGAUAUAAGAACAGCUUAUUUUUUAUGAUAUUCAAGAUUAUUAAUGUUACAAUAAUAUUUUAUUUUGUAAAUAAGUGAAUAAUUACAUUUUAAUUUUUUUUAGCAUUUUCUAAUAAUAAUUAUAUAGAUAUGCGAAUAUUUUUAUAUAUAAUAAAUACAGAUAUUUUUUAGUCAAUUAUGACGAUGAGAAAGGACAAAACAGUAAACUUAUACUAAGUAGGAUAAGCCAUCUCGAAAAAUAUACACCAGAUAAUUUAUAUUUAUAAAUCAUCAUGUGUUAUUUUUAUUAUUUGUAUUAAAUAAUUUCAAUAAGUGUAAGGAAAUGUUUCCUAACUAAAAACCUCUUUAUUAAAAAAUAUGAGAGCACAAAUUAUUUAAAAGAACAAUUUUUUCAUAUUUUUCAUCAUCUUUGAAAAUAUGAAAAAUUAGUUAAAUAAAAUAAUUAUAUAAAUGUAGUAAUUAAAUGACGGUAAUUGUUAGGGAUUUUUUUUCAAAAAUGAUAAUGUAUAAGGAGCUCAAGAAGUAAUUUUUGAAUAUAAAUUUGUUAUAUUAAUCAAUUCCAUAAAAUAUAAUUCUUCUAGAUUUCUACUUGCCAUUAUCCCCUUGGUUUCUACUUGCCAUUAUCCCCUUGGUUUCUCCGCCUCCCUGUCCUUGGUUUCUCUGCCUCCCUAUCUUUCCUUGUUUUUUAGGUCUUCCCUCGUUUUGUCCGCCUCCUUAUAUUUCCUCAGUUUCUUCGCCUCCCCUUGGUUUCUCUCCUGUAUAUAAAUUUUCACACUCAGACACACACUUAUAAUCAUAAGAAGAAUGUGCAUGAGCACUAAAGCGUGCCUGUAAAUAGGUUAGCAUUGAAAUGAUUUGGCGAUUAAAUUUUAACAAUGGAGAUCGAUGUAUGCAUAUGUGUUCCCCUUGAUAAAAGUUGGUGCCAUGUAAGUAGAAUAUAUAGUUCUGAUUUAAUUAUUACGUGGAUGUUAUUUCACCAUUUUGAUUUGAUGGGUAUUCUUUAUUUAAUCUUCUACUCAAAAUUUUUAGGGUAUUCGAGGUUGUUCUUGGUACAUUACUACAAUCGUUAGAAGGCAAAUGAAGCCCCUUACCCCAGCAGGCCAACCUGGUACACUUGUGGGGAGUACUAGGCCCAGAAGGCAAAGGGGUAGCCUCUGGCUGAAGAAGAGCCAGGCAUUGAUGUGGACACAUCUCAAGGUGUCCUCAGACCUGGAGAGAGAGCCAUUCCAGACACACAACCUCGGCCAGGACAUCACCUCUCUGCUUAUGCUAGAGCCAGAAGGUAGUUGUGACGCCCCCGGCCCGUGAUGACUUCAGCAACCCGGCCCGGGGGGGCCAUUCUACUGAACACACUGAAAUGUAACUUUGUAAUCUCAAACUUAAUAUAAUUUAGAGUGAUUGACACUUUGCACCUCUUAUGUUUAAGCGCUUUUUCGAUUUCGUCUCAAACAAUUUUUUUUUGGCAGAAUGCAUCCUAAAAUUUAAAAAGCGCUUCGCUUUGCACCCCUUUGACCACCCUCCGUUUAAUUGACCGUUAAAGUUAACAGAUAUCAGAUUUUCACUUUGCACCCCACAGUUUUAAUUUUUUUUCAGAAAAAAAUUGUUUGAGAACUUUAGGCUAUGACAAUUACAGUGAAAUGUUAAAGUUGAGUCUUGGCAACAUCAAGUGCGUUAAGCACUUCCUGCUGCCGAACCAUGGCUAGCUUGACUGAUUACUUGGAUACCUGGCUUUGCUGCAAUAUUAAGACACAAUUCAAACCCAAGUUAAUUUAACUAAUUUAUAUAUAUGCAGUCACUUUGCAUGCAUGCAUUAUGAUAUGCAUGACUACAUGAGAUGAGACUAAUGAUAACAUAUUACAUCGAGAAGUAAAUAUACAGGGCAAAUAAGAGAGAUUAACUAAAUAAUGCAAUUAGUCUGGGGAAUAAGUGGUUAACCGGUUUAAUUAGUAAUGCUCCUCUAUCCAACUCUUAGCUUGCACAACUCCAGAAUUUUAAAAAAAUACGAUAGGUUUAUAGAAGAAUUAUAUCUGGCUCAUCAAAACCGAGGCCUGUAAUUCGAGUUAGGCCGCUCGCGAGCAGCUCAAACUCGAUCUCGUUUAAUAAGACUCAAACCGACUCGAUCUUGUAUACUUAGUUAAAACUAGUAUCAUAUGGGAGUAGAAAAGUCUACCCAAUUAACUCAGAAAGAAAUGAUUUGAGAACAACAGCAUCCAUGUCAGCUCUGAUCUUUUACGUAAAUCCCAGCAGACAAGAACUCAACUAAUACAAUUACUAAGGUCAGCUUCAGCACUUCUACCACUUCUACCAGGUUGUUCGCCCAAAUCUCAAUUGCCACUUGAAACCUAAUUUGUUUCUUUUUUACAGAAGAACAGAAACAAAGUGAGUCUAAAAUGUAUUAACAUUUGAGUUUGAUCUUUAAAAUUCUAUUAAAAUUAGAAAUAAACUCGAGUUUCACACAAAUAUAUUUCUUACCAUAUGUUGUAAUGUAGGAACAGCUUCAUCAGUUGGCAUAUCUACCAGUCUGCAGUCCUAAUUAUAUGACAAAAUACUCAUGAAAAAAAAAUUAAAAUUGUGGGGUGCAUAUUUUCCACAUUAAGUUUCGGAUGAUUUGGACUAAUAAUAUCCUAGCAGACGAAAAUGAUAAAUAAUUUUCUGAUUCAUGAAAAUUUUUUCAAAAUACUCAUGAAAAAAAAUUAAAAUUGUGGGGUGCAAAGUGAAAACCUGAAAUCUGUUAACUUUAACGGUCAAUUAAACGGAGAGUGGUCAAAGGGGUGCAAAGUGAGCGCUUUUCAAACUUUAGGGUGCAUACUGCCAAAAAAAAUUGUUUGAGACCAAAUCGAAAAAGCGCCUAAACAUAAGGGAUGCAAAGUGUCAAUCACUCUAUAAUUUAAAGGCAUAUUUUACCUUACAUCAGAGCCUUACAUCACUCUCCUAAAAGUUCACAAAUAUUUCUUUCGAUUACAUAAUACUUCUACUAAACUUCUAAUUUCAAAUCCAACCAAGUCUAGCACUUCGGUUCAUCACACUUUUACCCUUGCCUGAAUAUCCUUCUCCAGAAUUCUUCCCUGUAAGAUUAGUACAUAAAAAGGGAUGAGCUCAUAAAGCUCAAUAAGCAUAUACGUACAUUUCAACUGAGUUUUAUUCACAAAACUUGGUGAACCAAAUCAAUAUUUCAUCAGAGUCAUCAAACAGUUUCACACAUCAAGAUGAGUAUGAGUAUGAGUAUUCAAGCACGAUAAGUUCAUCAGUUCAUCAAGUUGGGAUCCCGGCCAGCUAAACAAUCGGUUUAGCUUUUACUUCCAAUAAGGAAGCAUCAUCAUCAGUUCAUCAAGUAUCAAUGCAAGAAUACUCAUGGCUCAUCAGAAAAUCAUCAACAAAAUGUUCACCCAAAACAUCAUAAAAUAUCACAGUGAAGGGUACGGUAUAUACUUACAGUGCACCACGUUCCAAUUUUAUGUUGAAUAAUCAAGCUCGCCUUACAGAUAAUCAAUCUUCUAUGUCACAAAAUAAUAAAUUUAGAAUCUUAUCUUAAAACAACGAUCUCGUAAAAUCUAUUUAUAAUUUUUUCUCAUUUAGAUCGUUUCUCAUUUAUUCUUCUCUUAUUAUUGAUUUAAAUAAAAUAUUCCUUACUAACUCAUGUUACUAUCCCAAAAGUCUCAUUUCUUCUAAAUUAUCUCUUUUAUUCAAAUAUUAACUAAAUCCACCAAUUUAACUUGCUAUUUAUUAAUCAACCAAAAUAUAAAUAAAUUUAUUUAAUAACUCUCAAACCCAAAAUUAGGCUUCACCAUUAAAUCCGAAAUAUUAUUUACUUAAAUUUUCAUGUUUUACACUUUUACUAAUUCCAUCAUUUAGUCCCUCAAAUUAAUUAAAUACUAAUAUUCAAUAUUCUAGCCAAUCAGAAGACGCCACAUCAUCAUCUUCUCCAAUACACCCAUCCAGUUUCUCUCUCCCCGAAGUCAACCCCCAUGGCCAAACUUUGACCACUCAUAACUCCCUCAUGUUUCAUCCAAAUCAUUUGAUUCAAGAGUCAAUUCCAUAUAUUUUUUCACAAAGAAUCCAAAUAUGUAAUUUAUUUUAUAAUCCGACAUCAAAUUAUUGCCCAGCGAAAUAUUUAUCAGAAUCGAUUUAUAAUUAAAGAGUGAUUGACACUUUGCACCCCUUAUGUUUAGGCGCUUUUUCGAUUUGGUCCCAAACAAUUUUUUUUGGCAAUAUGCACCCUAAAGUUUGAAAAGUGCUUCGCUUUGCACCCUUUUGACCACUCUCCGUUAAUUGACCGUUAAAGUUAACAGUUUUUAUAUUUUCACUUUGCACCCCACAAUUUUAAUUUUUUUUCAUGAGUAUUUUGAAAUAUUUUUUUUCAAAAAAAAAUAUAUUUUCCUCAAGACUCUUAUAUUCUGUAAGAGUCUUAAAAUACGUGUCAAUAAACCUUCUCUGUCCGGUACGUAUAGAGAGGCAAGUGCACAGAAUGCAAGAACUUAUUACAGGAAUUUGAUCAAUCACGUUAGACAAAAUGGAACGCCAAACAGACAGGGAAGACCUGUAGAAACUUACUUGUUUGCCAUGUAUGAUGAAAUUAAACCUCAAGGGAGGGGAAGAGACUGGGAGGCAUUUUGGGCUUUUCAAUCCCACAAAUAAACAGCCAAAAUACCAACUCAGGUUCUGAGUUAUAAUUUUAAAAACGUCAUGUACUAAAAAAUAAGGCCCAAAUGGCCAUUUUGGAGAAAGUAGAAAACAAGAAAUGUAUCAUGUUUGGGAUUAGUUUGUUCGGUAAGAGCAUCUUUAAAAAUGGAUGUCAAGAGAGUGUUAACGCCACUAUUGAUAAUAUGUAUGUUUUUAUCAUCAUAUAGGAGAAAAAAAUUCUUAUAAUGUUAUUCAAUUAUUUUAGUUAUGAAAUUUGUAUUGAGUACGGGUGUCAAGAGUCAAGACACUUAUUAUUGAUAUAUUUAUUCAUCUUUUACACUUGAUACAUGAUCCGAAAUAUGUUAAUUAUAUUUUUCAUUUGUUUUAAAAAUUAUUUUACCUAUUAUCUUAGAAGUUAGUUGCUAGCAAAUAUGUAUCCAUAUUAGCCAUCUAGGAACUCCUCAGAAAAUCUUACUUAUGAGCUGUUUACAUUACCCGUUGUGGUUGUAGCAGAUCUGGAUGAUAAUCAUCCAUCCUGGAACCUUAUUGAUGCAUUGUUACAUACUAUGUAUUCGGUUGUUGAGAGAUCAGGAGGUACAAAUGUCAGAGAUUAUUGUGUCGAGAGUGGAUGGCCUUCUGCAGGUGAUGCAGAUGCAAGUGCACAAAAUGCAGGAACUUAUACUCGGAAUUUGAUCAAUCAUGUCAAAAGAAAUGGGACACCAAAGAGACCAGGCAAACUUAUCGAAGCUUACAUGUUUCAAAACACUCAUGAAAAAAAAUUAAAAUUGUGGGGUGCAAAGUGAAAACCUGAAAUCUGUUAACUUUAACGGUCAAUUAAUGGAGAUUGGUCAAAGGGGUGCAAAGCGAAGCGCUUUUCAAACUUGGGGGUGCAUACUGCCAAAAAAAAUUGUUUGAGACCAAAUCGAAAAAGCGCUUAAACAUAAAGGGUGCAAAGUGUCAAUCACUCAUAAUUAAAUUACUAAAUUAACCUUGUCUUUCCCAUCUCUCCUCUCUCCCUCCUUUACCACCACCUCCACUGCCACCGCGAACGGCGGCUCGCCACCGUCGGCUUCUUCCCCGACGAAACACACACCCGAAACACAUACACACACCUCUUCUCUCCCUCUCUCUCUCCGCACCGCCUCCUCUCUCCUUUCUCUGCUGCUUCUCUUUUCUUCUUUACUGCCGCCGCAGGCUCCGUCGGUGACGCCGACGUGAGCUCCGGUCGGACUCCACCACCAGCCUAUCUCCCUUUCCAACAAUACUCCAAUCCAGACUCAUCUCCAAUUCAACACAAAUUAAAUUUAUACACCCCAAAAACAAGCAAAAAAACCCAAUUAAGCUUAAGCCCCUUUUUACAGUAGCCAAAACCCCCUCCUUUAUUUCAUUUAUGUCUAUAUACAUCUAUACUCCUUAAUAAAUUAAGAGUUUCUUUUGAGUCCCUUAAUUUGUAUUGCAUACAAAUGGGUCCCCUAGCACAAAAUGAAUUCUUUCGUUAAUAACAAAAUAAUAAAAGGUAAGUGAGGGAUUUUUACCUUAUUAAUGGAACCUCUUGUUCGAUUUUUUCCCUUUUCUUUAUUCUAACUCGCCUCCUGCUCUUCUCCACCUUUCUCUCUUGUGUGAAUAAAACUCAAACCAUGUGUCUUUCUUGGUUUUUAUACUAGUAGUACUAAUUAUCAUUAACGGCUAAUGACUCUUUAAUAUAUUAUUAUUUACUAGCUUUUAACCCGUGCGAAGCACGGGCGGGUAUAUAAUUCGUAUUUAUUAUUUAUAAUUUAAAUUUUAAUAUCAUUUUAUUAAUAUUUUAGUAUUAAUGGAUUGAAUUUUAGGUUAAAUUAUAUUAUCAGCUGACUAUAUAUAUAUAUAUAUAUAUAUAUAUAUAUAUAUAUAUAUAUAUAUAUAUUAGUACAUUUAAUUCGAAUUUAGUAAACGUAGAUUUAAAAAUAAAAAAAAUCAGGAAAUUCAAAUCUUUUCCAAACAUAGCCGAUCGUGUAAUACCUUUCAAAGAUUCAGUAAUCUAAUCAAUCGAAUUUCAAACUUAAUUUUGUAAUUUUGGUUUUUUUGACAACAAUAACUUUUAAGAUUAGAGUUAGAAAGAGUUCUGUAAUGAUUCGUGUUUAUAUUGAAAUAAAACACGUUAAAGUUAAAAAGAAUUAUAUGAAGGUUCUUGUUAAAAAAAGAUAUUCAAAAUUGUAUAUUUAUAAUUUUAUUUAUAACAUCAUUAUGAUUUUUUUAAUGAAAUAUUAUAUGAAGAUGUAUUGUUAUGAGUGUUUUUAGUAUUUGAAACUGUUUAACAAUACAAUACUAUUUGUAGACUUGUAGUACCAAAAGGAGAGUACCAAACCAAAAAAUAUAACUAAAACCUUGGAUUACAAAUUAUACCCAUGUUGGCUUAUUAUAGUAUAGUACAGAUUCCUUUUACUUGGGCUCCAAACUUUAUUCUUAGGCUCCAAGUAUAAUAGCUUGAGCUCCACGUUCCGUCACGCUAAUUAAAAUUUUUGUUUCUCUCGAUUCCUAUUUUCUCGUAUCGGUCUUAAUAAACGCGAAAAAUAAAAUUAAAUAUCGUACAAAAUAUUAAAUGAAUAAAUCAUUAAUUAUUUUAUAUUUCAUAAUCAAAUCCCGAAUAUAAUAAUAAUAAUCAUCUCGGCUAAAACGUAAUAUUUAUUCACGAGUUGGUAAAUAAAUAAUUAUGUCUACUAUAAUUCUCAUAUAAACGCAGUUCCCGCGUUAAUAUACAUAUUUAAAUUAACAAUUGGCCCACACAAUAUAACUCACGUGUUUUCUAGUAUUCUCGAAACUAUAAAAUUUAAUUAAUACCUCUCACAUUAUAAUCUAAAUCCGUGACUAAUAAAAUAGUCUUUCUACACAAUAAAUACUUAUAUUAAAUAAAUGCAUUUUUAGGAAAUUGAAAAUUUCACGGAUGUUCCAGUAGCAUAUUGAUAUUUGUUAAUAUUCUUCUUUUCCAUAUGAUCAGCUUCCAUUUUUAAGUAGUAAUAUAAUCAUUGGUGUUGUAUAGCAGGAACCUAUACACAAGAUCUUAAUUGUCCAAUAGAAUAUUUGUCUAGCAUUGCUAGGUUAAUUGAUGGGGUCUUUAGAUUUCUUGUUGGUCGAAUUACAGUUUUCAUAUGCUUUAAACUGUGAACUAUCAGUUUAAAAUGAAUUUUAGUUCUUUUAUUAUUAUUAUUAUUAUUAAAUUUGUGGUUUUGGUUGGAAUCUGUUUAGUAUAUAUAUAUAUAUAUAUAUGUUGAUUUUUUUUAUGUAUUACAUACCUCCACAUAAUAAAAGUUCAAAUAUGAAUUAAUUUUUUGAUUUGUUAUCCAUAAUUGAGUGGCUAAUAUUAUGUCUCAAUGGAUUAUUACAGGUGAUGUGAAGAUAUAUGGGUUCGUGGAAGAAACUUUGGACGAUGAUAUAUAGGACGAGAGGAGGUGUCUGAUGCGGUGGUAGAGUAACAAACCAAAAAGGACAAUGCAAACGCAAAAAAUUCAUUACUUGUUCUAAAAUUAAAAACAAUUUAGUGACAUGUAAUUUUGUAUCCAUCAAAUAGAUGUUUUUAUUAUUAAAAUAGGUUUCUUAUCUAUGACUUUAUCAGUAAAUUGCAUCUAAUGAGUCUAUCAACGGUGAACAUGCAUCUCUAAUGAUAGAAUGAAUCGUCAAAACAUUACAAAUUUAAUAUCUAAACAUUUUAAAUAUCUUUACCCUUUAAAGACCCAGUCUUAGUUUUGUGUGCAUUAUUUUUUACAUAGUAAAUGAAUAUGAAUACAUUCUGCUUAUAAGCUGUUUCUUUGUAAAUGAUUUUCUACAUGAAAAAAUAAUGUUUCUUGAAUGUGCAUAUAUUAUGUAAGCGCUUUACGAUUGUUAGAUUUCUUUGUUAGAUCUGCAAUAAUCAAUCCCGCGCCUUUUAUGGUAAAGACAUAAGUUAAUUAAAUCAACUUCUACGAGAAUGCUCACUAUUAACUAUAGAAAGAGCAAUGAUGAUGUUUUGGAUCCACUAAUCAUAUAGCUAACCAAAAGAAUUUUUUUAAACUGAGAAAAUCAGGUUAAAUAUAGUGAUAACUAUAAAGAUAUGAAGAGCUAUAGGCUUAACCUAUUGGUUAACAUCGUUUUGGUAUACACUUAAUUUUAUUGACUAGAAAUUCUAAAAACUUGAUUGAAUGGGCCAACUAAAUCAUGAUAUAUUCAUAUCACUAAUAAGUCUAUAAGAUAAAGACCAUCUAGGUAGAAGAGGAGCGGGACUUCUUCAAUGAAAAAUUAUAAUGACAAUUCUUUAUAAACUGUAUAGCAUGUAUUAUGUUCCAUGACUAUAUACACAUAUUCAUGAAAAGUACUGAAUGAGCCAGUAUAGAUAUAAUGAUGAAGUUCAUUUACCAAAUAGUCAAAGAAUUCAAGUACAUCACGUCUAUAUCUAUGUGUAAAGUUGGUAUAUAUACUUACUCCAUCAAAGGUUCAAGAAGCAUUUCUUAUCAAUCAUAUACUAUUUCUGGCCACCGGGACUAAUACCAAGUCAAAGCUAUUGGAGCAUCAAUCUCGUUUGUGAGGGAUUUGUGAAAUUUUUUAGUGUAUAUAUAUAUAUAUAUAAUACUAAUGUUCCGAUGUUGACAGUUAGUAGUACUUAAUUAUCUUACAACUUCAGUCUCUUUUUUUAAAUAGAGUCUUGGGCCAUUAAUUUUAUUAAGUCGAAAAUUUUAUAUAUAGUCAAUUCUGUUAUUUGAUCUCCUUAGUUUAAAUCCUUCAUACAUCUCGUUGCUAAUUCAGUUAUAGUAAUAAAGUUAUAAUAAAACCAUGCCAGGGAGAGCAACCACGGUUUCUAAAAUCGUUGCACACCCAUCCAUACAGUAUGUAGGAUAUUAUAAUAAAAAACCGGGCUUGUAGUGAGAAAAAUUACAAAAACUAGUAACUCAAAUAGGGUAACAACCAAAAUACUAGAAUUCCCCUUAUAAUAAUCUUAAGAAUCACUUAAUUACUCAUAACACAUGAAGCAGUCGAAUACUAAUCCAGAGGUAUAAAACUAAAGUUCUCUUUCAAGCUCAAUAGUCUAUUAACUAAAAUUUUUAGCUUACUCUUCUAAGGUGGGGAUCAUGAUCAUUUCUAUGAAUUGAUAUAGAAAGGCUGAAAUAAAAUUUCAAUAAUUAGGUAGACUAAAAAGACUAAAAAAGAAGAAUGAUAUUAAUGAAAUACUAGACUAUCUAUCUUAUUAGGAAUAAAUGAAACAAGUAUUUGAAAAAAUACAUAAUGUAACAUUAAAUAGAUAAAAUAAUGAUUCAGAUUUUAAAUAGUUUAUGAAAAUCCACCAAAUGAAAACGUACAAGUUAAUGUAAAGUUUGGAAGAAACUAAAAACCAAGUAAGAAGAUUUAAUUGUUGCAUUAUAUAAAUGCAAUCUACUUGCAGCUUAAUGUGAUAGUAUGAGUAAAACUUGAAACUUACACUAAAUUAUUAUUUGUUGUAUCAUGUUUUUUUUGAAAGUGAAUUGUUGUAUCAUGUUGAAACUUAAUAUGUUAAAAAUGAUUUACUAAUGUCACUUCAAAUGAUAAUGUGUAUAAGAUGUUGGGUUUGUCUACACUCAUUAUUAGAAGUGAGAAGGAAAAAUCAAGAGGAAAAAAUUUAGAAGAAGGCUCGCAAUAUGUCUCGAGAAAUAAGUAGAAAUUGGAGUUGAUAAUAGACGGAGAAAUAUGUGUGUCAUAUGUUAGUUCCCUUUUGGAUUCUUUUCGAUUUACGAGCACAAUUAAUCCAUUCCCCCUAAAUAUAAUUAUCAAUAUAAAUUUACUAAUUUUAAUAAAUAUUAAAUGAUGAGUUGCGUAAUUGUUAUACAAGUUGAAAGUUGAACCGGUAUAUUAAUAAUAAAAACUUUUUGAAGAUAAAUUGACACAAAAAAUAAACGGUUCAUUAUGGCAUUACGUGAAGAUCAUUGAUCAUAUAUGUGUGUGUUGUGUAUAUAUGUAUGUAUAUACUUAUAUGUGAGAGAUAUGUUAUAUAUUAGAUAGUGAUAUGUGAGGUGUAAACUAGUUAGUGACUAAAAAUUGGUGAGGAACUGAUUUUUAAUUUGUAGGCUAAUUUAGUUUGUAUAGGCCGCAGUCUCGGUGGCCACAGUGGUGGGCCACCGGUCGGGGCUAACAGUAUAUAUGGGUCUGGUCUGGUGGGAGUGGAUGUGGGUGAGUAAGUGACAUUAUAUGAGUGUAGGUGAGGAAGUGGCUAUGGUUAUGAAAGAAAUUUUUGGUUUUUAUUCAAUUUUAUUUUUAUUAUAUAUAUAUAUAUAUAUAUAUAUUAAAUAUUUGAUAUAUUUUUUCAAAAUACAUAUUUAUAAUUUUAACAUAUAAUUAGAUUUAAAAUUUUCAAACAUGUGAUGCCAUAAUUUAUUUUAGAAAAAUCUAUUUUCCUUCAUCUUACAUUUUAAAGAAAAGUUAUUUUGCUUGCUAACUAGAUAAAAUUUGUAUUUAUAUAUAAUAAUACGUUAUUUUCUUAUUGGCAUGUGUAAAUAAUUUUAGUAAGUGUAAAUAAAUGUUUCCUUAUUAAAAAAAAACCUCUAUAAUAUGAAGUAUGAGAGCACAACUUAUAAUAAAGGAAUUAUUUUAUAUAUUUUUUCCAUCUUUGAAAAUACAAUAAAUUAUUCAAAUAAAAUAAUUAUACAAGCAAACUGAUUAAAUGAGGGUAACUGUCAAGAAAUUUUUGAUUAAGAUAAAUGAUAAUGUAUAGAGUUCAAGAAGUAUUUGUUGAAUGUGGAUAUAUUAUAUUGAUCAAUUUGAUAAAAUAUACUAUUCCCCACAUUUUGUUAAAUAUAAUAUAAUUUUGGCUAUAAAAUAAAAGAAGUGUGUGGGUGAUUCUAGAUUAUUCUUAUUAGUACAUGCAUUUGUUUUUAAUUUUGAAUGCAUGUAUUAGUCCAGAUGCAUAAUCUCUAGAAUAUUCUCGUCUUUUGCUUUCUAGCAUUUAAUUAGUCUCUAGAUCUUUCUAUUGAGUCCUAUAUAAAGCCUCUUGUACCAAAUCAUUUGUCAUCAACUAAGGUAAAGCAAUUCAUUAUAUAUAAAUUUCUCUUUUCCUAAAUAUCUGAGUUGUGGGAGUUUUAGUGAAAACCUUUCUUCCUCCAUCCAACACAUUUUUAGCCCACAUCCCGGUUCUAAGUCUAUUCUAGUUUUGUCCUUCUCCUUAGAUUUCCUCGAUUUCUUCACCUCCCCUUGGUUUCUCCGCUAUAAAAUUUUACACACAGAUAUAUAUAUAUAGUCUUAGAAGAAUGGCCAUGAUCACUAAAGCUAGCGUGGCUGUUAAUAAGUGAGAAUUGAAAUGAUUUGCCGAUUAAAUUUAAUUAGCAAUGGUGAUCUAUGUAUGCCUAUGUGUUUAGUUCCCUUGAUAAAAGAUGGUGCCAUGUAAGUUCAAGAGUUCUAAUUUAAUUGUGAGGAUAAUAUUAUGUAACCAUUUUGAUUUGAUGGGUAAUCGUUAUUUAAUCUUCUUUUACUCAUAAAUUAUAGGGUUUUGGCGUUCGAGAUUAUUCUUGGUACAUCUGUAAAAGCCCUAGAAGGAAGCCCGUUACACCGGCAGGCGAAGCUGGUACACUUUUGACGGGGUUAAAGCUCUGGAGGCAUAUGAUGAAGGUGGUGUUAUAAAUAGAAAUUCUGGUCUUCAUGGAAUUGCAUCUUCUAUUGGACGCACUUUAGAAGGGCGAUUUCACGUCAUAUGUCUCGAUGAAUUGAUGUACGUUGGUAUUUGUCCUCUAUUGUUACCCUUCACUACAAUUUUUUACCUGAUGACCCACAAAACAUCGGAUAUGCUGUAAAUCUGGUCUUCUAAAUCCGAAAUUGCCAGGUGGAGAAAUCCCAUGUGGCUUCAUCGGAUAUGCUGUAAAUCUGGUCUUCUAAAUCCGAAAUUGCCAGGUGGAGAAAUCCCAUGUGGCUUCAUGGGAUAUGCUGUAAAUCUGGUCUUUAUAUUGAUUACCAAAACGUAUCCUGGGUCACGACCUCUGGCCAUGGCCUUAGAGAGACUCUCUUCUAUCAUCUAUUCUCCCUCCUGCAAGUUUAUAGAACUAUGAAAAAUAUGUAUAAGGCCCUCCCAUUCAUAAAAGAUGGAGCUGUAUCUUUUGGAUGGUGGAAUUUUGGAUGGUGGAAUAAUGAGUCCUGGUGUUUUUACCUUGGCCAUUGGGUUUUUUUUUGAAUAUCGAUGAUCAAAAUUUCCUCUUAGUAGCAUAGCCAUUGUGACAACUUUAAUUGUACAUUCACAUUUCUUCUGUUGCAACUGUACAAUUUCUUGGAACAAGCUAAGUUUAUAUGAUUAGCAAAGAAUUCUUUGAUAGAAGAGUAUAUUAUUAUUUGUUAGUAUGAUAUAUAUUACUCAUAUAAUAAAUAUGCAAACAAGGAACUUGGAUAUGAAAGUAUUAAUUUAAUAACAAAAUUAAAACGUAAAACUAAAAUUAAAAGAAUAAAAGAGAAGGAAAAUUCUUAUGAAAUGAAUGAGUUUGAUUCUUUUCGUUUCCUUUGUCGGUGAUGUUUUAGUAAAUUGCAUGUGAUAUACAAAUAGCAUAAAACAAAAUUUUGUGCUAAUUUUUUUUUAUUUUUAGACCACUAUUAAAUCUAUCAACAAUAAACGGCCACCAUAUCUGUAUGUAUUUUGUUUCUAAUAUAUAGUAUUAAAAAAUGUAAAUUGGAAUCUUAUAGAAGCUAACAAUAAAAAUUUUUAUUUGGUUUCACGAUCAAAAUAAUAUAAGUAAAAUAAUUCAAGAUCAUUCAUUAACUUUCUCCUAAUUUUAAUUUGUGAAUUUUAUUUGAUUUUCAAGUAUAAACAAACCAUCCCUACAUAUAAUAAUCAUUAUAAAUUUACUAAUUCUAAUAAAUUUUUGAAUGAUAAGUUUGUAAAUUAUAUUGUUAUACUGGUCGAGACUUGAACUAUUAUAUUAAUACUAAAAAGCUUUAGAGAAGACAAAUUGACUCAAAAAUAAUAUAUUAAUUUGUGAAAUUUUUUCUCACUAUAAAAUUUGUUCAUAUUAAUAAGUAAUAAUGUGCUUCCUACAUAUUUAUUAGCUAAUUAAUAAUUUCCAUCAACUAAAAAGCACGGAUGUUCGAAAACAAACCUUGUCUUGGCACUUCACCUCCAAGUUUGUUGUGGGAAAGAUUGAGGAAUUCGAUCAGAUGAAACCCAUCAAAAAUAUUUGGAAUAUCCCCGGAUAUAUUAUUACUUGAGAGAUCUAAAUUAUGAAGACUUUUCAAGGAUUUGAAAGAAGAUGGAAUUCUACCUUGAAAAAGAUUUCCGCCCAUGUACAGCCCCUCCAACAUCACACAAUCACCCAGGGUUGUGGGUAUUUCUCCUGUCAGUCUGUUAUUCCAAACAUCUAGUGUAACCAAUUGUUUCAAGUUUCCGAUGUUGAAUGUUAAGGGUCCUCCUGAGAAUAGAUUUUGGUCCAAAUUAAGGAAUAAACAUUGGGAAGAAAACCCAAUUUCCGCAGGUAUUAUUCCUCCAAGACUAUUCCAAUCAAAUAGAGUGUCUCUAUGGUGGUGGAGAGAUUUACAAUUGAGCUGGGGAGCUUCCCUCUUAAACCAUUCUGACUGAAGUCCAAGUAAGUUAGAAGGGUACAAUUUACCAGAGAAUUGAAAAAGAUCCAGUCUUGGAGCUGCGAAUAGUCUGCCAAUGGAUUCUGACCCAGACCUAGCACUUGAAGAUUAGGAAGGCUAUUCCAGUUGAUUGGUAUAGGCCCAGUAAUACUGUUUGCCGAGAUGUCAAGGUUAACAAGAUUGGACGCAUUAACUAUUGACGGUGGAAGUGGCCCUGAAAACAGGUUACCUUCACCGUAAAAGCCUUGCAACUUCGGAAGGGUGAAGCCUAAAUCUGAUGGAAGUGUCCCUUCUAAUACAUUCUGGUUUAGACCGACAAUAUAGAGGGACGAACUGUUGUAAAGUGAAGGCGGAACCAGACCCCCCAACCCGUUUACUCCUAAAUUAAGAAACUGUAAACUUGUAUGAUGUGCAAGUUCCAAAGGUAUGCCCCCAAAUAAAUUGUUAUAGGCUAGAUCAAGAUAAAGAAGGGUUGAUAUAUUACCUAUUGAAGGUGGAAUUGAGCCUGUGAAAUUAUUGACUCGAGCAUCAAACUGGUCAAGCUUAGACCAAGAGGAAAACUCGGUGGGUAGUUUUCCUUCAAGUUCGUUGUUACUCAUACUAAGUU
rnacentral:lncRNA from 1 species